rnacentral:rRNA from 1 species
AUUGAACGCUGGCGGCAGGCCUAACACAUGCAAGUCGAGCGGAUGAAGGGAGCUUGCUCCUGGAUUCAGCGGCGCACGGGUGAGUAAUGCCUAGGAAUCUGCCUGGUAGUGGGGGAUAACGUCCGGAAACGGGCGCUAAUACCGCAUACGUCCUGAGGGAGAAAGUGGGGGAUCUUCGGACCUCACGCUAUCAGAUGAGCCUAGGUCGGAUUAGCUAGUUGGUGGGGUAAAGGCCUACCAAGGCGACGAUCCGUAGCUGGUCUGAGAGGAUGAUCAGUCACACUGGAACUGAGACACGGUCCAGACUCCUACGGGAGGCAGCAGUGGGGAAUAUUGGACAAUGGGCGAAAGCCUGAUCCAGCCAUGCCGCGUGUGUGAAGAAGGUCUUCGGAUUGUAAAGCACUUUAAGUUGGGAGGAAGGGCAGUAAGUUAAUACCUUGCUGUUUUGACGUUACCAACAGAAUAAGCACCGGCUAACUUCGUG